UACGAGGGGGGCGAGCGUUGUUCGGAAUUAUUGGGCGUAAAGGGUGCGUAGGUGCGGUUUGGUAAGUCUCGUGUGAAAUCUACAGGCUCAACUUGUAGUCUGCACGAGAAACUGCCGGGCUUGAGUAUGGGAGAGGUGAGUGGAAUUCCUGGUGUAGCGGUGAAAUGCGUAGAUAUCAGGAGGAACACCUGUGGCGAAAGCGGCUCACUGGACCAUAACUGACGCUGAUGCACGAAAGCUAGGGGAGCAAACAGG
rnacentral:rRNA from 1 species